rnacentral:sRNA from 1 species
AGGUUUAUUUACUACAUAUAAGUGUUUAGGUUUAUUUACUAUAUAUAAGUGUUUAGGUUUAUCUACUUCAUACAAGUGUUUAGUUUUAUCUACUACAUAUAAGUGUUUAGGUUUAUUUACUACAUAUAAGUGUUUAGGUUUAUUUACUACAUAUAAGUGUUUAGGUUUAUUAACUACAUAAAAGUGUUUAGGUUUAUUUACUACAUACAAAUGUUUAUAUUUAUCUACUACAUACAAGUGUUUAGGUUUAUCUACUACAUACAAGUGUUUAGGUUUAUCCACUACAUACAAGUGUUUAGAUUUAUCUACUACAUACAAGUGUUUAGGUUUAUCUACUACAUACAAGUGUUUAGAUUUAUCUACUACAUACAAGUGUUUAGGUUAUCUACUACGCUACAAACAAGUUUGGACUUGCGACAAUUUGAAUUAGUUGAGAAAAGUCUAGAAGUGAUGAAUACAUUAUACCUUUUGUAGCCACAUUUUUGUAUCAUAUUAUUAAUAUUAGCUGUUACAUGGUUUAUUUUUUUUUUUAAUUUGUCAAUUUGCAUCUUAAAAGUGAAAACAUUUUUCUUUAUUUGGACUUUGAAUCCAGCACUUUUUGUUUCUCACAUAGUUAGCCAGAAAACAGUUUCUAGGCAUCUCUAUACUAAACGUUCUUGCAAGCGUGAAUUUAAGGUUAAAAACGAUUGAAGACAUUUCUGAUUAACCAAAGAUAUCUUUGGUGUUGUUCUCAACUCAGAACUUUUCUAUGGGACACUAAAGCUAUUUGUACGAGAGAGGUUUAAUAAUGUACUCCAGCGAAGAAAAUGAACAUAAUGACCAAGUUAGAUCAACGGAUCACUGUACGAUUGAAUAAGUGUACUUUUUGAAAGACAGUCCUCUGGAAGCUAUCAGUCUAUUCGUGUGAAUUAAGACAUAAACUAGAACAUAAACUGUUUUCAAAGAGAACCCCUCUCUAAUUCGUCGCCAUUUUAAUGUAUAUGUAAUCUAUUUUCUAGAAGCACAGUGGUCUUUUAAGUCUUCUUUUUUUACUAUUUAAUUUUAUUUAGAUUACAUUACUUAGCAUAAAACUUCAUUUGACAGAAGUUCCUAACACAGCCUUCUGGCUUUGAUUAAGAAAAAAAAAA